rnacentral:rRNA from 1 species
UCUAGUCUGGCACUGUAAGGAGACAUGAGAGGUGUAGCAUAAGUGGGAGAUCCGCUCGCGGGUCGACAGUGAAAUACCACUACUUUCAUCGUUUCUUUACUUACUUGGUGAAGCGGAGGGCGUUCUUCGUUCCUUGCGUUCGAAGAUCGGUCUUCUUGAGCCAAGGUUGGAAGGUUCACUCCUUCCGGCCGAUCCGAUCCAAGGACACUGCCAGGCGGGGAGUUUGACUGGGGCGGUACAUCUGUCAAAGAAUAACGCAGGUGUCCUAAGGCCAGCUCAGCGAGGACAGAAACCUCGCGUAGAGCAAAAGGGCAAAAGCUGGCUUGAUCCCGAUGUUCAGUAAGCAUAGGGACUGCGAAAGCACGGCCCAUCGAUCCUUUUGACUUGGAGAGUUUCCAGCAAGAGGUGUCAGAAAAGUUACCACAGGGA